ensembl:Mt_tRNA mt-Tk mitochondrially encoded tRNA lysine
UGAAGCUUAGAGCGUUAACCUUUUAAGUUAGAGACCUUAAAUCUCCAUAGUGA